AGCAAUCCCAAUUGCCGCAACA
rnacentral:snRNA from 1 species